GGAAACUGGUGCUAAUACCGGAUGCGCCGAGAGGUGAAACAUUUAUGGCCUAGGGAUGAGCUCGCGACUGAUUAGCUAGUUGGUGGGGUAAGGGCCUACCAAGGCAAUGAUCAGUAGCUGGUCUGAGAGGAUGAUCAGCCACACUGGGACUGAGACACGGCCCAGACUCCUACGGGAGGCAGCAGUGGGGAAUUUUCCGCAAUGGGGGCAACCCUGACGGAGCAACGCCGCGUGAGGGAAGAAUGGUUGUGGCCAGUAAACCUCUUUUAAUAGGGAAGAAUAAUGACGGUACCUAUUGAAUAAGCAUCGGCUAACUCCGUGCCAGCAGCCGCGGUAAUACGGAGGAUGCAAGCGUUAUCCGGAAUUAUUGGGCGUAAAGGGUCCGCAGGUGGUUAGUCAAGUCAGCUGUAAAAUACUCAGGCUCAACUUGGGGCGUGCAGUUGAAACUGAUUGACUAGAGUACGGAAGGGGUAGAGGGAAUUCCUAGUGUAGCGGUGAAAUGCGUAGAUAUUAGGAAGAACACCAGUGGCGAAAGCGCUCUACUGGACCUGUACUGACACUGAGGGACGAAAGCUAGGGGAGCGAAAGGGAUUAGAUACCCCUGUAGUC
rnacentral:rRNA from 1 species